UCAUUGUUUUCUAUUUAAGAAUUUCACAUUCCCCUGGACCUCUCAUAGUGUCCCAUGCUAGAGCAACCCAUGGCCCCAAACCAUUGCCCUGCCUCUGUCUGUAGGCUGCUGGCACUGAAGUGGGUUGCACGUAA